rnacentral:rRNA from 1 species
UACGAAGGGGGCUAGCGUUGCUCGGAAUCACUGGGCGUAAAGGGUGCGUAGGCGGGUCUUUAAGUCAGGGGUGAAAUCCUGGAGCUCAACUCCAGAACUGCCUUUGAUACUGAAGAUCUUGAGUUCGGGAGAGGUGAGUGGAAUUGCGAGUGUAGAGGUGAAAUUCGUAGAUAUUCGCAAGAACACCAGUGGCGAAGGCGGUUACCUGGAAGAUUCCUGACUCUGAAACACGAAAGCCAGGGGAGCAAACGGG